CCUACGGGUGGCAGCAGUAGGGAAUAUUGCACAAUGGGGGAAACCCUGAAGCAGCAACGCCGCGUGGAUGAUGAAGGUUUUAGGAUUGUAAACUCCUGUUGUUGGAGAAGAUUAUGCGUGUAUCUAACGAAUAACCCCGUGCCAACUCCGUGCCAGAAGCCGCGGUAAUACGGAGGGUGCAAGCGUUACGCGGUAUGACUGGGCGUAAAGUGUGCGGAGGCGGGGGCAUAGGUCUGAUGUGAAAGCCUGUAGCUUAACUAAAGAACUGCAUUUGAAACUGGUCCACUGGAGUGUAGAAGAGGACAGUGGAACUCUAGGUGUAGGGGUAGAAUGCGUAGAGAUAUGGAGGAAUACUAGUGGCGAAGGCGACUUGCUGGACUAUUACUGACGCUGAGGCGCGAAAGCGUGGGUAGCGAACAGGAUUAGAUACCCGAGUAGUC
rnacentral:rRNA from 1 species